GACGAACGCUGGCGGCACGCUUAACACAUGCAAGUCGAACGAAGAUAUUUCACCGUAGCUUGCUACACCGAGAUAUCUUAGUGGCGGACGGGUGAGUAACACGUGAGCAAUCUGCCUUUCAGAGGGGGAUACCUGUUGGAAACGACAGUUAAUACCGCAUAACAUAGUUUUAUCGCAUGAUGAGAUUAUCAAAGAUUUAUCGCUGAAAGAUGAGCUCGCGUCUGAUUAGAUAGUUGGUGAGGUAACGGCUCACCAAGUCAACGAUCAGUAGCCGGACUGAGAGGUUGGACGGCCACAUUGGGACUGAGACACGGCCCAGACUCCUACGGGAGGCAGCAGUGGGAAUAUUGCACAAUGGGCGAAAGCCUGAUGCAGCGAUGCCGCGUGAGGGAAGAAGGUUUUAGGAUUGUAAACCUCUGUUUUCAGGGACGAUAAUGACGGUACCUGAGGAGGAAGCUCCGGCUAACUACGUGCCAG
rnacentral:rRNA from 1 species